rnacentral:rRNA from 1 species
UACAGAGGUCUCAACCGUUGUUCGGAUUCAUUGGGCGUAAAGGGUGUGUAGGCGGUCGCGCAAGUCGGAUGUGAAAUCUCAGGGCUCAACCCUGAAACUGCAUUCGAUACUGCCGUGCUUGAGGACUGGAGAGGAGACUGGAAUUUACGGUGUAGCGGUGAAAUGCGUAGAUAUCGUAAGGAAGACCAGUGGCGAAGGCGGGUCUCUGGACAGUUCCUGACGCUGAGGCACGAAGGCCAGGGGAGCAAACGGG